ACCAAAUCUUCCACCCUGGGGAAUUGUUUCUGAAGAUAAAAGCAUUCAGAAACCUGCUGAAAGGACAUUUAGGAGAGAAGAAAGACAAGCUGGUUUCAGUAUUCAUGUCUGUGCUGACAACAGUCAGCUGGACUCUGUAUCAUUUUUUCAAAAUCCCUUGGGGUGGGAAAUUACAGUGAAGAACAACAGAUCUACCCUGAUAUACAUGAUGCCUGAACACUGUCUCUUUCACCAGAGUAGGACUUCUCCCAUGAGUCAUAUGUUCAAGCUCAAAAAAAUAC
rnacentral:lncRNA from 1 species